UACGUAGGGACCAAGCGUUGUUCGGAUUUACUGGGCGUAAAGGGCGCGCAGGCGGGAAUUCAAGUCAUCUGUGAAAUCUCCGGGCUUAACCCGGAACGGUCAGGUGAUACUGUUUUGCUAGAGGGCGGAAGGGGCAAUCGGAAUUCUCGGUGUAGCGGUGAAAUGCGUAGAUAUCGAGAGGAACACCAGAGGUGAAGACGGGUUGCUGGGCCGGCACUGACGCUGACAGCGCGAAAGCCAGGGGAGCAAACAGG
rnacentral:rRNA from 1 species